rnacentral:rRNA from 1 species
UACGUAGGUCCCGAGCGUUGUCCGGAUUUAUUGGGCGUAAAGCGAGCGCAGGCGGUUCUUUAAGUCUGAAGUUAAAGGCAGUGGCUCAACCAUUGUACGCUUUGGAAACUGGAGAACUUGAGUGCAGAAGGGGAGAGUGGAAUUCCAUGUGUAGCAGUGAAAUGCGUAGAUAUAUGGAGGAACACCGGUGGCGAAAGCAGCUCUCUGGUCUGUAACUGACGCUGAGGCUCGAAAGCGUGGGGAGCAAACAGG